AGGUCCCUGUUGGAGAAGCAGGGCACGUGCAGGUAGAGACACGCCGGAGCACGGCCGGCGGACUCACGCGCACCUGCGUGUGGCCGGUCGAAAGUAAGCGAGCGAGGAAGCUUGCUUCUUGCUCCAAUGUGCUAGCUCCUGCACGUGCUCCCCUUCUCCACCAUGGCCUU
rnacentral:pre_miRNA from 2 species